UGCCCCAUGGCUGAGUUGGUUACAGCGUCCGACUGUUACGACUCGUUUCAUCGGAAGGUCGUGAGUUCGAGCCUCACUGGGGCAG